AGUGAACGCUGGCGGCGUGCUUAACACAUGCAAGUCGAACGAGAACGGGCUAUAGCUUGCUAUAGUUGUCAGCUAAGUGGCGCACGGGUGAGUAGUGUAUAGGUAAUAUGCCUCUUACUAAGGGAUAACAAAUGGAAACGUUUGCUAAUACCUUAUACUCCUUAUUAACAGAAGUUAAUAAGGGAAAGAUUUAUUGGUAAGAGAUUAGCCUGUAUUGUAUCAGUUAGUUGGUGGGGUAAUGGCUUACCAAGACUAUGACACAUAACUGGUUUGAGAGGAUGAUCAGUCACACUGGAACUGAGACACGGUCCAGACUCCUACGGGAGGCAGCAGUGGGGAAUAUUGCACAAUGGACGAAAGUCUGAUGCAGCAACGCCGCGCGGAGGAUGACACAUUUCGGUGCGUAAACUCCUUUUAUAUGAGAAGAUAAUGACGGUAUUAUAUGAAUAAGCACCGGCUAACUCCGUGCCAGCAGCCGCGGUAA
rnacentral:rRNA from 1 species